GGCGGCUAGGUUUUGGGCAUGAAAGCUUCGGCGAACUGGGAAAGAAAGAAAAAAGAAGAAGAGCGCGAGGGAUAAAAAGGAAAAGCAGAGGGAAAAGAGGAACCAGGCGGCGGGCUGAGCAAAAAAUGGAGGAAACAAGCAACGAAAAAAACACACAAAAGGGAAAUGGGGGUUUCAGCUUCAAUCAUCCGAUAAAAAUUUUUCCAAUCACCACUGCCAAAUUUCCCACCACCUCAACCGGCUGCCGGCUGCCACCACUCUCUUUCCACCCUCCGUCCUCAAAUUCCCCCCAAUUUCCCCAAACGAAUCCUCCACAAAAACCCCUCAUUUCCCAUUCUGCUCCUCCCCACUUCUAAUACAAGCCUUUUCUGCCAACGCCUCCACCACAGCCCUUCCCCUUUACCGCCGUCUCUAUCCGCGCCAAGCCCAAAAAAAAACUCAUCCUCAGCAACCUUUCUGUUCUCGGUGAAAAGGGCAAGAACAGCUACGACGUCGAGACUCUCAUCAAAUUCUUCUCCACCUGCUCCUCUUCCGUGGAUGGCUUGAGCAGCAACAGCAGCGGAGAUUUCCAACUCACCGAGCCGUCACCACCCAUCGGAUAUCCAUUGCCGCCUGCGAAUUUCACCAAGAAAGCCUUCUGGCAAUGAUUUUAGGCACUGGAGAAAGAAAAUAGUGAAGAUGGAAAUAAUUCUGAUUCUAGCAGUUAUUCUAAUGAUAAUGAGGACGAAAGGCCGGAGAGCAAAUCUAUCACCACCUCUUGGCCUCAAAGUUACAGAUUCUGUAUUUAGCAGUGAAGCACUUGGUUUCUUGAAAGCUGUUAUAUUUAUAUGGUACCAGAUAUUUAGCUUUACCUAUUCAUUUUUGGCUAGGAGAGAUAUUUAGAAAUGGGAUUGAAAUGCUUUCAUCAUUCAUAUUUUGAAGCUUCUUCAAGUAUUUUCAUUCUGUUUCGGCCAUGAAUAUCAAUAGUUUAUGAGUUUGAAUGGAUCCAGUAACAUCAGUAAAGGAUAGCUAUGGGCUUAAGGUAGGCUAUGUAAUGUUAUCAAAAGGCCAGAGCAUUUUAUGUCUUCCCUGGAUCCUUCUUCAGCUUAGCGGAACUUGGUAGGAUGCACUUAUAUUGCUGAGUACUGCCUCUAUUGAAAAGAUUUUCCUUCGUCAUGAGGGAUUGGUGGUUAAUCCCUGUGAACCAUCUUUGGAAGUGAAGGAGUUGUAUUUGUCCUUGCUACAUUUAUCAAUGGUAGAAACCAUAUUUUGGAUAUUACCUUUCAUCGAACGGCUGAUUCUGGAAGACUGAACCAAUUUCCAUAACUUGUGUGUCAUAACAUCUGGCCAGAACUAUACCAACUUUUAGACAGUCUGCUAGAUAUUUUGAUUGAAAUAAGUGCCAGAGAUCCACUCUCCU